AACUGUACAGCAACAAGUGUUCAAGUGUCACAGUCCCAGUGAUGCUUUGAGCAAAGACGCCAUAUCUUCAGGUAUAGUCCCCUCAGCACCUAGACAACAAAUGAUACAUUUUGAAGCUUUAAGACUACAUUCAUCAUAUAGUAAAUAUCAAAAUAAC